rnacentral:snRNA from 1 species
GUUGAGCCGUCACACGGAA